rnacentral:rRNA from 1 species
UAACACGUAGGGGGCAAGCGUUGUCCGGAUUUAUUGGGCGUAAAGAGCUCGUAGGCGGCUCACUAAGUCGGGUGUGAAAACUCUGGGCUCAACCCAGAGACGCCACCUGAUACUGGUGUGGCUAGAGUCCGGUAGGGGAGCGUGGAAUUCCCGGUGUAGCGGUGAAAUGCGCAGAUAUCGGGAGGAACACCAGCGGCGAAGGCGGCGCUCUGGGCCGGAACUGACGCUGAGGAGCGAAAGCGUGGGUAGCAAACAGGAUUAGAUACCCUGGUAGUCCACGCCGUAAACGUUGGGCACUAGGUGUGGGCCCCAACCAACGGGGUCCGUGCCGUAGCUAACGCAUUAAGUGCCCCGCCUGGGGAGUACGGCCGCAAGGCUA